UACGAAGGGGGCUAGCGUUGCUCGGAAUCACUGGGCGUAAAGCGCACGUAGGCGGAUCUUUAAGUCAGGGGUGAAAUCCCAAGGCUCAACCUUGGAACUGACCUUUGAUACUGGGGAUCUCGAGUCCGGAAGAGGUGGUGGAACUGCGAGUGUAGGAGGUGAAAUUUCGUAGAUAUCGCAAGAACACCAGUGGCGAAGGCGGCCAACGUCGGAUCCG
rnacentral:rRNA from 1 species